AUUGAACGCUGGCGGCAGGCUUAACACAUGCAAGUCGAGCGAGCGGCGGACGGGUGAGUAAUGUCUGGGAAACUGCCUGAUGGCGGGGGAUAACUACUGGAAACGGUAGCUAAUACCGCAUACCAUCAGAUGGGCCCAGAUGGGAUUAGCUAGUCGGUGGGGUAAUGGCUCACCUAGGCGACGAUCCCUAGCUGGUCUGAGAGGAUGACCAGCCACACUGGGACUGAGACACGGUCCAGACUCCUACGGGAGGCAGCAGUGGGGAAUAUUGGACAAUGGGCGCAAGCCUGAUGCAGCCAUGCCGCGUGUGGGAAGAAGGCCUUCGGGUUGUAAAGUACUUUCAGUCGGGAGGCGUUACCGACAGAAGAAGCACCGGCUAACUCCGUGCCAGCAGCCGCGGUAAUAC
rnacentral:rRNA from 1 species